rnacentral:tRNA from 2 species
CGGGUGGUGGCGCAGCCCGGUAGCGCACUUGCAUGGGGUGCAAGUGGUCGCUGGUUCGAAUCCAGUCCACCCGA